ensembl:lncRNA
GUUUAUAAUGGGUGUGUAUGGGACGGAAUGUUGGGGCUAGAGUGAGGCAGCUCAACUGCUAGAGUGAGAGGAGCAAAAAAAAUAAUCUUAAAAUCUUUUUUAAAACUGCUGCUGUGUCCGCAGCGUUUGCUCUACAGGUAUGAUUUUACCCUCAAAACGUAGCCAUGGCUGUCCUCUUUCAUCCAAUGUGUUUACUAUUGUACUAGGUGUUAUGGUUCUUUCAUAAAUGUCACCAAUGCACAGCCUCCUCCCUCCAACUCUUCCAUAGACUCUAAUGUUAAAAUGGCUCAGAAGGUUCGUUUGAAAAUCAGAAGAGCAUGGUGUCUUUACACUGUCACCACGUCCAUAUAAUAAACUCCACAGGCAUGAAAACUGAGAAUUAGGUAGACUAGACAUGGCUGUCGCUCACGGUGAAAGAAUUUUGUCAGUACGACAUGUACUUUUCAUUUGGGAACGAUUUGUUUCGGCCUGACUUUUCUGUUCAUUUUAAGCAGCAAAAGUGAGGUGCAUGUCUGUGUGCGUGUGUAUGGAGCCAUUGGGUGCGGUCACUAUAGCAACCAGGCUCACACCUGCCUGCUUAACGAGCUCUGCCUGCCACUGUACCAAGAUUCAUCUUAAACACUUCUCUUUCAACUGCUGCUGUGUCCACAGUGUUACAGCCAUCAUUUUACCCUCAAAACGUCGCCAUCGUUGUUCUCUUUCCAACAUCUUGUCUUUCAAAGCUCAGGCAUUUAAACUUUUUAAACUGUGUGGAUCAAAGUGGAGGGAUCACAUUUUAGUCAUUCAGUGAUUCAAAGAAUAUGACCUUUUAAUAUUCAUUCAGAUGUUUUCUGACUCUAAAUGUUCUUUUCUCAUUUCUUAGGGUUUUCUAAUUUACAAUUAAAACAUUUUCAGCUUUUUUCCAACUUCUUCUUCUGUGUAACCUUCAGCUUUUAGCAGUUCAGCACCUUUGUUUUCAG